rnacentral:rRNA from 1 species
UACGGAAGGUCCGGGCGUUAUCCGGAUUUAUUGGGUUUAAAGGGAGCGUAGACGGUGAUGCAAGUCAGAAGUGAAAGCCCGGGGCUCAACUCCGGGACUGCUUUUGAAACUGUGUGACUGGAGUGCAGGAGAGGUAAGCGGAAUUCCUGGUGUAGCGGUGAAAUGCGUAGAUAUCAGGAGGAACACCAGUGGCGAAGGCGGCUUACUGGACUGUAACUGACGUUGAGGCUCGAAAGCGUGGGGAGCAAACAGG